rnacentral:rRNA from 1 species
UACAACAUGGCAAAGUCGAGCGGGGACGGGUAGCUUGCUACCUGACCUAGCGGCGCAACGGGUGAGUAAUGCUUAGGAAUCUGCCUAUUAGUGGGGGACAACAUUCCGAAAGGAAUGCUAAUACCGCAUACGCCCUACGGGGGAAAGCAGGGGAUCUUCGGACCUUGCGCUAAUAGAUGAGCCUAAGUCAGAUUAGCUAGUUGGUGGGGUAAAGGCCUACCAAGGCGACGAUCUGUAGCGGGUCUGAGAGGAUGAUCCGCCACACUGGGACUGAGACACGGCCCAGACUCCUACGGGAGGCAGCAGUGGGGAAUAUUGGACAAUGGGCGAAAGCCUGAUCCAGCCAUGCCGCGUGUGUGAAGAAGGCCUUUUGGUUGUAAAGCACUUUAAGCGAGGAGGAGGCUACUUGGAUUAAUACUCUAGGAUAGUGGACGUUACUCGCAGAAUAAGCACCGGCUAACUCUGUGCCAGCAGCCGCGGUAAUACAGAGGGUGCGAGCGUUAAUCGGAUUUACUGGGCGUAAAGCGUGCGUAGGCGGCUUUUUAAGUCGGAUGUGAAAUCCCUGAGCUUAACUUAGGAAUUGCAUUCGAUACUGGGAAGCUAGAGUAUGGGAGAGGAUGGUAGAAUUCCAGGUGUAGCGGUGAAAUGCGUAGAGAUCUGGAGGAAUACCGAUGGCGAAGGCAGCCAUCUGGCCUAAUACUGACGCUGAGGUACGAAAGCAUGGGGAGCAAACAGGAUUAGAUACCCUGGUAGUCCAUGCCGUAAACGAUGUCUACUAGCCGUUGGGGCCUUUGAGGCUUUAGUGGCGCAGCUAACGCGAUAAGUAGACCGCCUGGGGAGUACGGUCGCAAGACUAAAACUCAAAUGAAUUGACGGGGGCCCGCACAAGCGGUGGAGCAUGUGGUUUAAUUCGAUGCAACGCGAAGAACCUUACCUGGUCUUGACAUAGUAAGAACUUUCCAGAGAUGGAUUGGUGCCUUCGGGAACUUACAUACAGGUGCUGCAUGGCUGUCGUCAGCUCGUGUCGUGAGAUGUUGGGUUAAGUCCCGCAACGAGCGCACCCUUUUCCUUAUUUGCCAGCGGGAUAAGCCGGGAACUUUAAGGAUACUGCCAGUGACAACUGAGAGGCGGGGACGACGUCAGGUCAUCAUGUCCUUACGACAGGGCUACACCACGUGCCUACAAUGAUCGUUACAAGGAUGCUACUAGCGAAAGAUGCUAUCUCAAAGUCGAUCGGUAGUCCGGAAUUGGAGUCUGAUA